rnacentral:tRNA from 1 species
GAAGCAGUAGCUCAGCUGGUAGAGCAACGUAAAGGAUUGAGAUUACCGUUUUCUUUACAGGUCAAUUAACCCUUACACCCAGAUUAUUAAUCCGUGGGUCGUUGGUUCGAAUCCAACCUGCUUCG